rnacentral:rRNA from 1 species
AGUGAACGCUGGCGGUAGGCCUAACACAUGCAAGUCGAACGGCAGCACAGGAGAGCUUGCUCUCUGGGUGGCGAGUGGCGGACGGGUGAGGAAUACAUCGGAAUCUACUUUUUCGUGGGGAUAACGUAGGGAAACUUACGCUAAUACCGCAUACGACCUACGGGUGAAAGCAGGGGACCUUCGGGCCUUGCGCGGAUGAAUGAGCCGAUGUCGGAUUAGGUAGUUGGCGGGGUAAAGGCCCACCAAGGCGACGAUCCGUAGCUGGUCUGAGAGGAUGAUCAGCCACACUGUGACUGAGACACGGUCCAGACUCCUACGGGAGGCAGCAGUGGGGAAUAUUGGGCAAUGGGCGCAAGCCUGAUCCAGCCAUACCGCGUGGGUGAAGAAGGCCUUCGGGUUGUAAAGCCCUUUUGUUGGGAAAGAAAUCCAGCUGGCUAAUACCCGGUUGGGAUGACGGUACCCAAAGAAUAAGCACCGGCUAACUUCGUGCCAGCAGCAGCCGCGG